GCCCAGCUAGCUCAGUUGGUAGAGAAUGAUGCUUUUAAUCUCAGGGUCAUGGGUUUGAGGCCCAUAUUGGGUG
rnacentral:tRNA from 1 species